CCAGGUUCUGCAGCAGCAGGCAGAUGAUGCAGAGGAGCGAGCUGAGCGCCUCCAGCGAGAAGUUGAGGGAGAAAGGCGGGCCCGGGAACAGGAACGCCUGGCCACUGCCCUGCAAAAGCUGGAAGAAGCGGAAAAAGCUGCUGAUGAGAGUGAGAGAGGUAUGAAGGUUAUUGAAAACCGGGCCUUAAAAGAUGAAGAAAAGAUGGAACUCCAGGAAAUCCAGCUCAAAGAAGCUAAGCACAUUGCAGAAGAGGCAGAUAGGAAGUAUGAAGAGGUGGCUCGUAAGUUGGUGAUCAUUGAAGGAGACUUGGAACGCACAGAGGAACGAGCUGAGCUGGCAGAGUCCCGUUGCCGAGAGAUGGAUGAGCAGAUUAGACUGAUGGACCAGAACCUGAAGUGUCUGAGUGCUGCUGAAGAAAAGUACUCUCAAAAAGAAGACAAAUAUGAGGAAGAAAUCAAGAUUCUUACUGAUAAACUCAAGGAGGCAGAGACCCGUGCUGAGUUUGCUGAGAGAUCGGUAGCCAAGCUGGAAAAGACAAUUGAUGACUUGGAAGAUAAACUGAAAUGCACCAAAGAGGAGCACCUCUGUACACAAAGGAUGCUGGACCAGACCCUGCUUGACCUGAAUGAGAUGUAGAACGCCCCAGUCCCACCCUGCUGCUGCUCCUCCCUCUGACCCAGACUCCGCCUGAGGCCAGCCUGCCGGAAGCUGACCUUUAACUGAGGGCCGAUCUUUAACUGGAAGGCUGC
rnacentral:sRNA from 1 species